rnacentral:rRNA from 1 species
CGUUGUUGGGUAGGGGAGCGUUCUGUAAGCCUGCGAAGGUGUGCUGUGAGGCAUGCUGGAGGUAUCAGAAGUGCGAAUGCUGACAUAAGUAACGAUAAAGCGGGUGAAAAGCCCGCUCGCCGGAAGACCAAGGGUUCCUGUCCAACGUUAAUCGGGGCAGGGUGAGUCGACCCCUAAGGCGAGGCCGAAAGGCGUAGUCGAUGGGAAACAGGUUAAUAUUCCUGUACUUGGUGUUACUGCGAAGGGGGGACGGAGAAGGCUAUGUUGGCCGGGCGACGGUUGUCCCGGUUUAAGCGUGUAGGCUGGUUUUCCAGGCAAAUCCGGAAAAUCAAGGCUGAGGCGUGAUGACGAGGCACUACGGUGCUGAAGCAACAAAUGCCCUGCUUCCAGGAAAAGCCUCUAAGCAUCAGGUAACAUCAAAUCGUACCCCAAACCGACACAGGUGGUCAGGUAGAGAAUACCAAGGCGCUUGAGAGAACUCGGGUGAAGGAACUAGGCAAAAUGGUGCCGUAACUUCGGGAGAAGGC